AAAGUAUUUUGUUAUUAAUAUCGAAAUAAGUUUAAUUAUAGACGAUAAUUAUUAUUUUGUUGGGAUUAUUAUUAUUAUUAUCAUAAGAGUACAUUAUCUUAUGAGCAAGGUUUAAAGCAUUGUUUUAUAUGAAGAGUUAUUUGCAUUACGUUGAUAAUAAUUUAUUAUUAUCAUUUAUAUAGUUUCUGGUAUUAUUAAUAUACACUAUCAAUAGUGUAUAUUUAUGAUUUUGAUAGAAUUUAAUAAAUGAUGUGCAUUGAAUAGGAUUUGUAUGGAUUUGAUUGAUUGACUCUUGGUGAGGAAUUUUAAAAUAAGCUAAGGACCUAAGGUGUGGCUUUAGCUGUUGAGCAACUUGUGGAGCACGGACUCAGUAGCAAUGCAAUAAUGGUUUAGAGUUUUCAUAUGGCUGCCUUAAAUUUAAAGUAUUCAUACGUGUAAUAAUUUCUUCUAAUAAGUUUAUAUAAAAGUUUAAAUUUUUCUGCAUUUCUUCGUAUCAUUUUAUUUAAUCCUUUUGGUCAAGUGCCUUACAUACUCGUAAACCCUAGAAUUACGAGUAUGUGGCAGACGUACCCUACCUUAGGGACGUUACAAAUGGUAUCAGAGCUUUGAGUUUGUAGAUGUCGUAUACUCGUUAUGUUAUUAGAUUUUGGGAUCUGAAAUGCUACUGAGUUCCGCCACAAGACAAGCCACACGUUAAUGGUUAGUAUAAUUUAUCCAUAUUUUAGUUAAUGUAUGUUAAUGAUGUUGUAUAAUUGUAUUAGAAACUCAUUGUGUGUUUGAGUUUCCAUGAUAUAAGUAUGAGUUUGGAUUAAAUGAAUAUUCUCAUGCACGGUAGAGAAAUUGAAGUUUGCUAUUUAUCUGAAUGCAUGCCUUUAUUAUUGAUGUGAUAAAUAAUUGAUGAUUUAUCGAUGUCGAUGUUUGGAUUGUUAAUUGAUAUUCUCAAGCUUUGAAAGUGACCUAUCAGUUUAGUUAGUGUGUUAAGGGUUAAUAUGUCAGGUUAGUGUUUUGGAGAGCAAAGUUUUAGGUUGUUGCUGAGAGCACACAUAAUAAGAGACUUUAGUGAAACAGUAGUAAUAUAUAGAAAAAAAAAAAAAAAAAAGAAAAGAAAAAUACAUAAUACAUUAAGGAUUGGGGUUUUGGACACGUUCUACCUCGUCAAUCAACUUUUGUUGUUCAACUCUAAGGGUCUCCCCAGUAGUUUGCAGUGUCUGAAAUUUUUCCUUCAUAUCGACUGAGUAGUUAGCAAGAAGUGUAGUUAAAGUCCCAUUCUCCUUAACCAACUUCUCCUUCUCUCGAGUCAAUGCCUUGUUGGCAUUUCUAAUGGUUAUCAUCUCUUGUUUUUGUGUUUCUAUAUACCUUUUCAAGUGGUCAACCUCUUGUUCUCUUGCAAGAACCCGUUGGCCUAGGUUUGAGACCGAUGCUGCCGCCUGAGUGGUAAGAACUAAGGAAUCUUUUACAGCUUGUAGGUCUGACCUAUGGGAUAAAAUUAUUUGGUCUUUAGGGGUGAGUAUGCUUUGACCUAUACUAAUGGCCACCUUUUUAUCGAGCAUAGCUGAAUCCUCCACCGUGACAAGGCCAGUAUCAGAAUAAAAUUUGGGAAGCCAAACUCUGGGAAAUUGAGUAUUUCGUUCUGGGAUGUGUACCGUAGGAUACACCAUUAGUUGUGGUAGGGGUGCAGAAAUUUGUGGUGAAGAUUCGAUAGUGGGAAGAUUUGGCUCAGGUAAAGCUAAAGUUAGGUCUAAGUUCAGCUGAGAUGAUGAGGAUGCCAUGGGUUGCUUAGCUUGAGUAAUGGAUGGAAGUAAUAAUGACUUGGUUUUCAAAAGCUUGAGAUUGAUUGUGUUUUAGUGUGUAUGUGAUGAAUUUUAUUUAUAGAAAAAUGUGUUGAACUGUUGGGUCAUUGGAUCCUUGAAUUUGUUUGUUUUCAAGAUAGAUAUCACAGAUUUUAUCUUGUUCAAUGUGUUACGCUAUCCUCUCUGAUGAUGAAAGUCAAACUUAUUAAAUUUUGUCGACAUGGAAAUCACUUCUAUUGAUUUUGCGAUCUGAUUUGAACAUGGAAACAAUUUAUAAAUUGUUGAAUGAAUCGAGGUGAUAAAUGUUAUUUACUGAAUUACUCUGUAGUGUGAAUUACUUUCGGCGAUUAAAUUAUAGUAUAUUAGCUGUUUUAUUCCGAAAGUAAGAUAAUGUAUUACUUGUGUGAAGUGAUGACUGAGUAUUAUUGGUAUAGGUGUUGAAAUGAGACAUGUCUAACUUAUUAGACAUGUGAGAAUUAUUCGUUUUAGUAGAUGAAGUGGUGGAUUGGUCAGUCAAGACUUAUCCCAUGUUUUAUUCAAUGAAGGGAUACUAAGCUAAGUGUGUGAAUUUCCGAGUGGCCACGGUUAUUUGCAUUCUAGCAUAGUAUCAAUAUGCCCUUUAUUAUUUUAUACAUUUGGAAACAAUUUUGAUUUUUAAAUGUUUUCUUAGAGAAAGAAUGAGAGUCAGGCUUUUCUGAACUGGUACCUAAUGAAUGGCCUAUCUCACUAUUUCUCAUUCAGGGCAAGAAGUCGGUUUUGACAACGAAAGGGUUUCAUAAAGACUUGGUUUUAAAGAAUAAUCUUCAUCGGCUAUAUAAUUGUUUUCUAGUUAUCUAAUUUUAUGCAAAAAAAAAAAAAAAAAAAAAAAAAAAAAAAAAAAAAAAAAAAAAAUUGACUGUAAGACAUGAAGAUCAAGGAUGUUUUCAUGAUGAUGGUCAUUUUCUCUUCCUACGUUAUGUGGUUUGUGUUCAAAAGUAUGGAUGAUGAGGAUUCGUUUGUAUUUUCGUAUACAUUCAUUGUAAUUUAUACUAUUGUUAUAGCUUAUUUCCUUUCUUUCUAUAUUGUAGUCCUCAUGUGAGGUGUUUACACAUCCUCGCCUUUUUAUAUAUGAUAAGGAUUACAAGUCAGGAAUAAGUUUUGUUUUCGGGAUGAAAGUAAGUGUUGUGUAUGAAAUCUUAUGCUGUGAAAUGUUGUUCUGUUUAUUUGUAAUGGUAGUUCUUGUCUCUGAUUAUCAAAUUUAGUUUGAAAUUUCGAGGACGAAAUUAUUUUAACGGGGGAAGGAUUGUAAUAUCCAACAUUUUCAUUAUACAUUUUUUUUAUUAUAAAUCAGAGUUUUAAUACAUAAAAUAUACAAGUUUACAAAUUUAAGAAAUAGUAAUGGAAAAAUAGUAUUUAAAAUAUCAUUUUAUGUUUUUAAUGAGAUUAAAGAGAGAGAAACUUGAAUAGUCAAGUAUUGGACCCGAAUGUCAUAUAAUUUUAAUUGGGGAUUUUUAUAAAAUUAAGAAAGUUUUGCUAAAGGGCUUAUUUGAAAAGAAUUUUAGUAUUUUGGGUCCAAGUGUAAUUUUUAAAAAUAAUAAAAAAUAAAAAAUAAAAAAAAAAAAAGAAAAGAAAAGGCUUCAGCCUUUCUUUUUACCCGAACCCUCUCUCUCUCUCCUCAGAAAACCUCUCUCUCUCUCUCUCUCUCUCUCUCUCUCUCUCUCUCUCCUCUGCGUAUUACUGUUGCCGACGACGCAGGAGUACUUUCCGGCCACCAUUUUUAGCCACGCGCCGGACCGUUGGAUUCAGAGGCCUCCGAACUAUCGACCCACGCGGGAAUCUAGAGCUCACUCGCCGAUUAAACGCCUCAACCACUCGAUUUAAGUUCGGCCACCCCGCGACUUCAAAGUUGCGAUUCGGCCACCUCGGGCAUCCGUUUGUCGAUCCGUCACCACCAUCGUGCUCCUCGUGUUGUGGGCUUCAAAACCCAAUAACUUGUUCCUACAUCUACCAUAGUUGGGUGGUGGGCCCACCACGAGCCACCGCGAUCCACCGUAGACCGACGGUCGAAACUUAGUGUUCGAGGUUCCGAAGUACGUUUUGAGUCUCAGAAAAUCAUCGUUUGACUUGUUGUGGAACCCGAUCAUUUUGGUAUAAUUUCUUUAACCUAUAUAUUGUGAUUUAAUUGUGAUUGAUUAGAGUAAUUGUUAUUAUGUGUAUUUAUAGUAUAUAAUUAUAUAUUAUUGAUAUAUGGAAUAUUUUCUGUAAAUUACUGGCUGUCUGGGAUUAUAUAUAUUUUUGAUACAGGUUUUGAUUUUGGAAUUGUCCACUUUAUAGCCGUUGUGCUGUCCAAUUUUCUAGAAAAUAUUAGAUAUUAAAUAAAGUAUAAAAAUACAUAUUUAAUUGAUUUUUCCAUUAAUAUGGAAAUUAUUAUGAUUAAUUAAUUUUAAUUAUUAUUGUUAUUGUUUUGUUAAGUAAAUCAAGAAUACAGUUUUAUGUAUAUAUAUAUCUAUGAAAAGUGUGAUUUAUAGUAAACGUAUUAUUUAACAAUUAUUCUUAUAUGUUAAUAUUUUGUUAAUAUUUGAAUAUUAAAAUAAUAUCAAAUAUUAGUUUCUUACAGUUAUUGAUAUUUGUAAGACCAGUGAAUUUUGGAGAAAGUAUAUUUAUUAUAUCACUGGAAUUGAUAUUAUGACUAUUUAAUAAUAAUAGAAAUAUUUAUAUUUAUAUUAUUAUCAUUAUAUUGAUUAUUACAACUUUAUGUUAAAAAUAUGAUUUCUUUUAUAAAAUGAUUAUUUGAAUAUAUACAUUCAUAUACGUAUUGCUAUUAAAGUAUUUUGUUAUUAAUAUCGAAAUAAGUUUAAUUAUAGACGAUAAUUAUUAUUUUGUUGGGAUUAUUAUUAUUAUUAUCAUAAGAGUACAUUAUCUUAUGAGCAAGGUUUAAAGCAUUGUUUUAUAUGAAGAGUUAUUUGCAUUACGUUGAUAAUAAUUUAUUAUUAUCAUUUAUAUAGUUUCUGGUAUUAUUAAUAUACACUAUCAAUAGUGUAUAUUUAUGAUUUUGAUAGAAUUUAAUAAAUGAUGUGCAUUGAAUAGGAUUUGUAUGGAUUUGAUUGAUUGACUCUUGGUGAGGAAUUUUAAAAUAAGCUAAGGACCUAAGGUGUGGCUUUAGCUGUUGAGCAACUUGUGGAGCACGGACUCAGUAGCAAUGCAAUAAUGGUUUAGAGUUUUCAUAUGGCUGCCUUAAAUUUAAAGUAUUCAUACGUGUAAUAAUUUCUUCUAAUAAGUUUAUAUAAAAGUUUAAAUUUUUCUGCA